rnacentral:rRNA from 1 species
AUGUUUUUCUUCGCUUUUACGAGGUUGCGCAUGAACCGUACGAAAUCUCACAAGCCGAUGUUUCAGAAUAAAGAAUGUGAUGCCAGUGUUGGUUCUAUUGCUAAAGCGUUUGUCCCCACUGGCAUGCUCAACUCAGACAAUGCUGACGUUGUUUCAUAUUCUCUACGUCAGAAGUACCGAGGCACUGACAAGUUGAUAGUUCCCAGAUGGACCAAGAUCUGUGAUGGAAAUAUUGAUUCCAAUGUGCUAAAUUGGUUCACGAGAUCUUGUGCUGAUGGUUUUGACCAAUGGAGUGAUGCAGUUAGAUUCUUAAGGACUAUGACAGAUAGCAUAAAGAAGCUUUGGAGGGAGUCUAGCAUAGACAGGGCGAAACCGUUCUCGUCGGCGCAUAUUGAUGGUUUCUCUUGCGAGUUUGUGCAGGUGCCGCAGCAGAAAAACACGCAUGGUUGUGGAUUCUUUAUGCUACAAAGCUGCAAGACCUAUCAUUGA